GAGCUGCUCGCGCUCCGCAGCGGUGCGCUGUCGGCGCGCGGCGGUCGCGUGGUGCCGUGGGGGCUUCCCGGGCACCUCCCGGGCACUGCCGGGAGCGGGCGAGCGCCGGCCCGCCGGGAACGGGGAACGGGCAGCCCCGGCCCGCCCCCGCCACUGCCCUCACCACACGGGUACCGGCACUGCCGAGAGACACCGGCAAACAGCCCCGGCCUGGAGCUGACAGUCUCCCGCUCCGCGUGGAUAGCAGCUCCUGGUGCUACUAGUGACUCUCGGUGCUGCAGAGUAAGAGUUCAGGACUUCCCGUGCCCUAGAUGCCCCAUACCCUGUCCUGGGCUGACACAGAUCCGAGAGAGUUUCUGCAGCACAAGACAAAAUGUGAUUGAUCCAGCGUUCCAGCUGGAGGGGCUGCCUGAGCUGUCUUACUGCGCAGUCACUGGUGUCAGCAAGAGGAACAGUCUACGUAAGUGCACUGGGAGCUGGGAAACCAUGCUGAGUUAAAACUGCUGCCUAAGAGCACCACAGAUGAGCCUGGAGAUCUGACUGCCACUGGGAAAUGUGAGCCAAGGGGAACAAGUUUGAGACAGGUGAACUGGCAGAUGCUUAUACAAAGGCUGCCAUGAAGAAGAAGGCUUUUGUUUGCUGUAUGAUUCUGCCUCAUUGCCUCACAACAGAAGACAGACAAACGUCUUGGUGUUUGUACAGCAGAAUGGUAUCAACAAAGCACCUUCUGAGCUUGCAACAUGUGCAAACAGAAGCCCAUGUGCAAUAUGGAAGACUAUACUAGAUAAGGGGGUUCCAGCUUAAUGUUGGUAAAUACCACUCAGGGUGGAAAUGGAGCUCAGUGCAGGAGAAGUGUGGGGGUGUCUGAACUCAAAACCAGAAACUCUUGAGUUUUGAGGAAGAGCUUGCUUUUUGUUUGACCUAAGCAUGUACUGACCUGAUUUGUCAGCCCACUUGUUUCCCAAGACAGGCCUUUUUGAAGGAAAAAGUAUGUUUUUAGGGAGACAAGAUAGCUGCCCAGAAUAAUCCUCUCCAACUUCCCACCAAGGACUUGGUGACUGUUGCUGAAGGUACUGUAUUUUUCCACAUGCACAGAGAUACUGCGAGACUUAAGGGCAAAAAUUGCCUGUGCCUGUCUCUAUUCCAGAAGAAUCAGUUCUGUAACAGAUUUGCAACACAAAGGAUGAGAGUAAAGCACCCGUCUUACUUGUUUGCCUGGGCAGCUAAGGAUUACAUUCCAGGGAACAAAAAAUAGAAAAUAAAACAAAACAAACAAAACAGAACACACACCAAAAAAAAAAAAAGGGAAAAAGAACCCCCCACAGAACAAAAGAAAAAAAACCAACAAAACAAAAAAAAAACCAAAAAAACAAACAAACAAAAAAAAAACCAACAAAAAACAACAGUUACAAAGAUUUAAACAUCCAGUAUUAAAAAACUGAUUACAUGGUCAGACCUGUGUAACAUUUAUGUAUGGUGCAUAUUGUUGUCUCCCAAUCUUUUAACCUGUGGGCUUCAGACAUUACUUAUUAUGUUUAAAGGCUUUGGAUUUGUCUGUCAUUUAUGAUCACUGCUUUGUAAAUACUAACAGCAAGUGACUUGAUAAAUGGAGAAUUCAUUUCAGCUAUUUUUGUUACUGCUGGGGGCUUGAAAAUGUCCUUUACAUAAACUAGAGAAACAGCACCAGCAAUAGAAACAUCCAGUCUAUUGCUUAUUUUUCCUUUGUAUUUUUUUUCUGUUGACCCAAGAACUAAAAUUUGUGCAAUCAUGUCCAAAAUGCUUUGCAGCAGUGAUUAUGCCUUUAUUCUGCUUGAUGAAAAGCCUUCUGCAGAGCUUGUUCUUUAGCACCUCUCUUCUACAUAUUUGCCAAAAAAAAAGAGUACUUUCCAUAGCCUCAUUUACUUCCCAGAAUCAAAGGAUUUGGGGCUUAAUAAUGUUUAUCCAUUGAAACUUUCCCCACACCUUGCAGAUACCCUAUAAGAACAUGCAGUUAGGAACUUAUUUUUGUGUGAGGAAAUAGCUCAAAGUAACAUUCCAUCCCAGCUGUCUCAUGCCAUCUCCUGUGCAUACACUUUUAUGUUUGGCAUAACUACACAGAUGAGUUACUGUGAAAUAAUAAGGGUAUGACUUUACAAGGUAACUACUGCAUUUCAAAACCACUGGUUUACAUGUUUUCACAUACUGUUAAUACCAGGAAGUGUUCUUUCUCAUUCUCCCUUGAGGAUAAUUACUAGCCAUUUUGAAAAAAAAAAUAGUGAAGAUGAUACUAUGAGUAGAACCUUAUUUCUUUACUUGGUCUUAAAACAGUGAAAACUUUUAGUGAAUCUGCAUUGAAAUUAAUUUGAGUGAAGUUAUAUAAAGGUACUUACACAGUAAUAUUUUUCUUCCAGGAAUAUGGGGUAGGACAAAUAUCAGUACAGACUGGAGCUUUGCUUUUGAAGUCUCAUCCAGGUUAGCCUAAGUGGCUUAUGUGAGCUUCACUUUGAAGAGAGAAACCCUAAGGAGGCCAAAGGUUGGUCUGCAGCUGCACACUUGUGCAGUUACCAUUCAUCACUUGCAAACACGUUUUGCAGUGUUUACCUCACACAGAUAAACUAGCAGAGCCCUAAGCUUCUAGCAUAGAUACAAUUAGGUCAGCAGACAUUAUAGAAAGGCAGCUUUUGAACAUUUUGGUUGCAUUUGUUAUGAUAAAAUGUUGCUAAUUAUACAGGAAGAUGGCCACUUCCAAAGGAAUUUAAUAAAAGCUGUAGUACUUGUAUGGCUGUUUGCAGUCUACCUGUGCUGUGAGCUCAGCAUUCUACAUUUGGUGGGCAGGUGCCAGUCACUCUGCAAGUAUUUGUUCCUGAUCAAGUAGUCACUUUUAGUGGUGGAUUAACAAUUCCUUCUCCUAAUGAGGAUUGUAAACAAACAUGGACAUAUUGGAUUCUCGUAAAACAAUGUUCACUUGUUCCAGCUCAGAAACUGGUGAGUGCUGGCAGGGUAGCAGGUGUUAGACGAUGCUGCUGCAGGCUGCCUCCAGCCAAUUUCCAUCAAGCUUAAAUGAGCAUGUUGCUAAAGCCUGCAAACAUUAAAAAUGGCAGCACAUUUUUAAUGCAAAAAAUAAUUUGAAGGUGCACAUAAAUUAUCAGAGCUGGUGAAGGUCAUGAUCUUGCCCACCUUCCCACAUUCCCCAUCUUGCCUGGUGCUAAUGUGAGUCCCCAUGUGCCCAUCAGCUACCCUGCAUGUUUCUUUCUCUAUUUCCUCUCAGAUAGACCAGCUGGGUUUACCCUGUGAC